rnacentral:rRNA from 1 species
UACGAAGGGUGCAAGCGUUACUCGGAAUUACUGGGCGUAAAGCGUGCGUAGGUGGUGAGUUAAGUCUGUCGUGAAAGCCCCGGGCUCAACCUGGGAAUGGCGAUGGAUACUGGCUCGCUAGAGUGCGGAAGAGGCGAGUGGAAUUCCUGGUGUAGCGGUGAAAUGCGCAGAUAUCAGGAGGAACACCAAUUGCGAAGGCAGCUCGCUGGGACGUAACUGACGCUGAGACGCGAAAGCGUGGGGAGCAAACAGG